rnacentral:rRNA from 1 species
GAUGGUAGUGUAUUGGACUACCAUGGCUUUAACGGGUAACGGAGGAUUAGGGUUCGAUUCCGGAGAGGGAGCCUGAGAAACGGCUACCACAUCUAAGGAAGGCAGCAGGCGCGUAAAUUACCCAAUCGCGACUCGCGGAGGUAGUGACAAGAAAUAACGGACCGAGGCCUAUGUCUCGGGAUUGCAAUGAGUAGAAUUUAAACCCCUUUGCGAGGAUCAAUUGGAGGGCAAGUCUGGUGCCAGCAGCCGCGGUAAUA